rnacentral:tRNA from 1 species
UGUGGUUCAGUUGGUAGAGUGCUUGCCUAGCAUACAUGAGGUCCUGGGUUCAAUCCCCAGCA